rnacentral:rRNA from 1 species
GACGAACGCUGGCGGCGUGCCUAAUACAUGCAAGUAGAACGCUGAAGGAGGAGCUUGCUUCUCUGGAUGAGUUGCGAACGGGUGAGUAACGCGUAGGUAACCUGCCUGGUAGCGGGGGAUAACUAUUGGAAACGAUAGCUAAUACCGCAUAAGAGUAGAUGUUGCAUGACAUUUGCUUAAAAGGUGCAAUUGCAUCACUACCAGAUGGACCUGCGUUGUAUUAGCUAGUUGGUGAGGUAACGGCUCACCAAGGCAACGAUACAUAGCCGACCUGAGAGAGGGAUCGGCCCCACUGGGACUGGGACACGGCCCAGACUCCUACGGGAGGCAGCAGUAGGGGAUCUUCGGCCAUGGACGGAAGUCUGACCGAGCAACGCCGCGUGAGUGAAGAAGGUUUUCGGAUCGUAAAGCUCUGUUGUAAGAGAAGAACGAGUGUGAGAGUGGAAAGUUCACACUGUGACGGUAUCUUACCAGAAAGGGACGGCUAACUACGUG